ACACUUACAAUUACACUGUUUGACGCGCGUUUCUCUAACCAAGUUACCAUCUUCAGUGAUUGAAGGUAAACUAAUAUCCCCAUUAUUAUUUUGAUGCUGAUCCAUUUCUAUUCCAAUAAGUAGAGCAAUAAGAGUAAACUGGGUAUCCAUCGGUACAGUUAAACUUGUAGGAAGUAAGUUGGUUAUUGUAUACAAUGUAAGCUUUUUCCAAUAUCUAUAUGGUUUUCAGUAGAUCAGUUGUUCAACAAUGUGCAUUUAAUUUGAUUUCCUCGGUGCAACCGGAUUCAUAUAAUUACAAUUCUAUACUGUUCGCUUCGAAACAAAAAUCACAAUUUUUAAACAUCACUCGUUUCAAUCGACGCUUUAUUUACAUAAAUGAUAGACUCAAUAUCAAACAAUCAUUAUUAAUCCAGUGUUUAUAUUUCAACGUUUAGCCGGAGCAAGAGAAAAUUUCAAUUUAAAAAACCGCGUUUCGUAUAGAUAUGAAAUUCUGUGAAUUGGAAUAGACCCCAACCUAUAGAUAACGACAGGAUUUCGUAUGAAUAUGCUACGAAUAAGGGAAAAUAGAAAUCGUUUCGCAAAUUUUAAUCAAUUAAAUCACACACCACGCGCAAAAAAAACAUAGUUGAACAGUAGGAUACCUUGUUAAGCACUUCCUCGGAUGCAAGGUCCUUUCACUAAUUCGUUUUUAAUUAUUGAAACACCCAAAAUACACAAACUAAUGAAAAUUAGCACGCUAGAUAAUAUAAUUAGAUAAUAAAUCAAUUAUGUAUUGAAAAACAAAUAUUGAAUCAUUUUCUUCUUAUUAUACCUCGUUAUGUCUUCCUGACGUCGGCAAUCACAAUAAUGAACUAACUGUUUUUAGCUGCUCUAAACAAUUUUUCGAUGCUAUGUGUGCAUGUCCAGUCUCGGAUGUUCUUCAAUCAGAAGAAUCGUUUUCUCCCUAUGUCCCUCUAUUUUGUCAUUCAUUAUAAGUUGUAGAAUCCUCAGAAUCCUCUUAGGACAUCACCAAGAUAUGACAGUUUAAUUGUUGUCAAUUCACGAACAGCAUUUGCCCUGUUUAAGACUGCUUCAUUUCCUUGCACUCUUAGUCUUUAGUUUCAGGAUCAGACUAUCGUUAGAAAACAGUGAUUUCAUCUUUUGGAAAGUCGCACGGGCCGAUUCCAUCCUGCAUCUAAUUUAUCCAGAUCCAGUUGCUCGGUCAUUGACGCGUUGAGGUAUGUCUGGCAGCUGUAGACCACAAACUUAAAAUUUAUAAACAAUCUCAUUUCCUGCCCUUCUGCAUUACCAGAAUUUAUGAGACUUUGGAGACCCAAGAGAUCAUCGCUCAAAAUAGAGUUUCAGGAUAUGGCAUUGUUCAUGGUUACUUCCAACUUAAAAAAUACAUUUGGUACAGAAAUCAUAAACACAGAUGAAUAAGCAUCAUAUAUAGUGCCAUUAAAUCGUCUGGAUUGCUGAUGUACAUCCGGAAAAUUCGUAUGAGCUGUGCAAUUGCUCAAAAUUCAUUACAAUAGGAAAAAUGAAUCAUUAAGGUUGAAUGAAUGAAGCUGCAGCUCAUCCUAUGUAUUGGAAUAAUUGAGGGAGGAUGAUAUGGAUAUGAAAUUGAUUGGAAAGUGGGAAUGCAAUUUAGUCGUAGCGAGUAAUUGAUAAGCAGAAAAUAUCUGAAUAUUUGCACACAUGUUUGUAAUUAUGUAGUGAAUUUCAUUCAUUAUUUUUCACGAUAAGGUUAUUCUGAAUUUGAAUAUCCCACUGUUUUCAAGUGCCAAAUAUAUAUUAACCAACGUUAUUAUUUGAUACAGUAUCAAAAAUAUUCAACAUUUACAAAAAUUAUGAAUGAAAUGAGAAGUACCAUAGAAAAUUGUUGCGGUUAGCCAGUAUUUUAAGUAUCGUUAUUUCACAUUUGGCUGGAAAAUUAUUAUAAUUAUAAUUAUUAUAAUACA